AGUCACGUGUUUGCCCCGCCCCCGCCCAGGGUGCGGACCCUCCCCUUCCUCCUCCCUCUCCCCCUCCCCCUGGCCCGCCCGCACGUGCGGGAGGCGCCACAGGUGGGUCGGCGGAGCCCGCAGUUCUGAGCCACCUUGGUGCGUCCCGGGGAUAUGGGGAGGGUCGUGUGCUCCAGGAGCCCUCGCCAUCACCCCUGGCUUCCCCGGCCUCCUCCCAGUGCCCGCCAGGGGACCUUCGGGACCUCUAUCAGGGAUCACUUGGCGGCCACACUGUGUUUCCCCUUCCCCGAUCCCACAAAAUCAUCUCUGUGCUCAAAAGUGUGGAGUCCCCCUCCUGUGUCUUUCUUCUCUAGUCAGUCCUCGCUCUUCGAGAGCAGGGAAAUCCUCCCCGUGUGCCUGGAGACCUUGGGGACCCUCUGGCAGGGAUCACCUCGCAGCCACACGGUGUUUUCUUUCACAUCAGCCCCUACACUGUGACUACAUCGUAAAGGCAAUAUUCUCUAGUACCUGGCUUGCCCCAGGCUGUCCUUGCCCUCCAGAAGCCGGGGAUUUCUACCUAUGUGCACCUGGGGACUCUCUAGUUUAGGGUACCACACUGACUCUGGUCCCCCACCUCACCCUCAGUCAUGGAACCCACUCUGAGUAACAGGGUGGCGCCAGCUCCUGUGCUGUGUUCUUCCAGCUGGUUCUGUCCUCCUCCUGACGACGGCGCCUCUAUCCCAAGCACAUUUAAUGACUUGGGGACCCAUUCCCCGAGUCACGUCCUUCCUGGCAUGGUGUCUGGGCAGCCAGAGGUCCCUUUCCCCAAGUCAAGCCUUUCCCAACAGCUCAUCCUUGGGGGUGGAGGGGGUUGUGUACACCCAAACUUAGACAUAAGCACUUAGAACUUGUGGGGUGAAUCGCUUCCCAGCAGACACUGCCCAUAAUCAUUUGAGACGACCCUCACUGGAGAUGCUGGGCUCUGAGGAAGGCAGCCUCUUCCACAGGCUCUGCCUACCUCCAGGGCCAUACUGUCCCCAGCUGUUGCAUAUACCUCAGAGUUCCUGUUGAGAUUUCUCAUGAACAGGGAACAGGAUGGACCUUGUCUGGGUCCUUGCCUACAGCUGACUGCAACCUCAGGUCUGGAGUUUACUGUUACAGAGUCCCACUGUGAGCUUGUCUGUGGCAUACUGGCUUGGCUUUGGUACAUUACAACCUUGUUUUCCUACUCAUGGCCUAGCAACAUUCUGGCAAAUGGAUGACCCCAUGCAGCGCGAGAUUUAGUAUGAAGAUGAGGCCUCUUUGACACCUGGAAACUGCCCGGGGGCUCACCUGC